rnacentral:rRNA from 1 species
GAUGAGCAUGCGUCCCAUUAGCUAGUUGGUAAGGUAACGGCUUACCAAGGCUACGAUGGGUAGGGGUCCUGAGAGGGAGAUCCCCCACACUGGUACUGAGACACGGACCAGACUCCUACGGGAGGCAGCAGUGAGGAAUAUUGGACAAUGGGCGCAAGCCUGAUCCAGCCAUGCCGCGUGCAGGAUGACGGUCCUAUGGAUUGUAAACUGCUUUUAUACGAGAAGAAACACUGCUUCGUGAAGCAGCUUGACGGUAUCGUAAGAGUAAGGAUCGGCUAACUCCGUGCCAGCAGCCGCGGUAAUACGGAGGAUCCAAGCGUUAUCCGGAAUCAUUGGGUUUAAAGGGUCCGUAGGCGGUUUAAUAAGUCAGUGGUGAAAGCCCAUCGCUCAACGGUGGAACGGCCAUUGAUACUGUUAAACUUGAAUUAUUAGGAAGUAACUAGAAUAUGUAGUGUAGCGGUGAAAUGCUUAGAGAUUACAUGGAAUACCAAUUGCGAAGGCAGGUUACUACUAAUGGAUUGACGCUGAUGGA